rnacentral:pre_miRNA from 9 species
UCUCGAACGCGUAAAGUUUAACUCAAAUUUGUAUGGAGUUGGAACGUUUGCUUACGUUUGCCGCCAGAGGCGCUGUUCCAACUCCAUACAUAUUUUAGUUAACUUUUACGCUAUCGA